AAGAACAAGCCCAGACACGUUUCUUCACGGAGCCCAAGGAAAACACUUUACCGAACUCAUAUGGGGUGGCCCUGUAAGUUGUGCAGCACUGUUGUACCAACCAAGAGUGACAUUUUAAAGCAUUCCAGACUGCAACAUGGGACCUUUGGACACAGCCAUUCCUUGCCUUGCAUUCAUAUUAAUGAAGCGUUCCGAAGGUGCACUGCUGUUCCACUGGAAUCAACAUUUAUGUCCCAACUGGACAGGUACACGCCAAAACUCCUGGAGCUCUUCAGUGCAAAAGAAGGAGUGACUGCAGCGCAUUAAGAACUUGUUGAUGGAACUGAUACAGGACCCAAGUGCCUCUGCAGUGAAGAAGAGAGAUGUGACUGUGAGAUGCCUCAUAGAGUACAUGGGAGAGAGUGGACAGGAGAUAAUCUCUGACUACUGGAACUGCAGAGACCACUGUUCAUGAGGACCUGGAAAUGAAGAAUAUGAGCAUCUACAUCUGUCGUGAGCCAAAUGCAGUAGGAAUCAUCAUUGAGGGAGUACCAGUCCUUACUCAUCUUGGAAACCUGGUCAAAGCAUGCUGCCUACUUCUGGGGUUGACGUAUGCACUUAAUCUUGAGUAUCCAUCCAAACUUUCCAAAACAUUUGAGGUGUUUCAAAGACUUUUUGUGGGACUUGACACACUGCGCCCAAAACCAACCCCCAAAUUCAUGACUCUCAAAAACAAGCUUCUAGCUUAGGCAGUGAGCCAUGACUGUCAGCUUGCACUUUUGAACAGCUAUUUUCUUGUGUCUGUUCAAAAUCAGUAUACAUUGUUCAUUGAGUGGAAUCCUUCAGAAUGUUGUAACAGUUUGUCCUGUUCAGGUUUUAUACAAAGCUCCAGGUCAUCGUUUCUGGUGUGUAAAUUAAGUUUUUGUAUGUUUUAUACACACUAAAUUGCCCCACUGUGAAGCUCCAGCUGGUCAGAAGGAGGGAUCUGUGAGUUGUUUAAGUUAAAAUGUUUCAAAAUAUACACACUGAAAGACACUACAGUGAAGGUGUUCUGCUUGUGAAUUGUUACAGAAGUACAGAUAAUCUUAAUGUUAAAUUGUUUUAGCAAGAAACUGUACUGUGAAUGUUCUAAGUAAAACUUUAGAUGCUGAGGUCAUGCAUUCUUUUAUGCACUAAAUACUGAUGUUCUUGACUGUUAAUACUGUCCAGCUUAUUGACAGGUUUGGAUAUGGCUUGUGAAAAUGUUUUAACAUGUAUACGGUUAAAAAAAGAAAACUACUGUGAAGGUGUUCUAUACAGCACUUUAAAAAGUUGAGGUCAUGCAUUCUUGUAUAAUAUGGAUGUUGACUGUUCAUACUGUCCAGCUCAUUGCCACUGUUUUUAUAUGGUAAUGAUUUAAUAAAGGUUGGAAUUUGA